CUAUUUUUAGAUCAUGUUCUCCUCUCUACUUUUGAAUUUUGAAAUAGAGGUUUUGAAUUUCAAAUCUCUACUUUCUCUCUCAAUUACUUGUUCUUUCAAAUCUCUACUUUCAGAAUGGGCGGUCCUUCCAAAAGAUUCAGUUUUUGAAUUUCCACUGCGUUGGUAUAGUGAGGGGGAGAGAGCCGAAAACCAAAGGUAUGUGAAGAGGUGGUGACGGUGUUACUGGUGUUGAGUCAUUCUCUUCGUUAUCAUCACCUGAAACAAAAACCCUAAACACCGUUCAUUCGUCAUUCUCUUCCUUUUUUUCUCUGGAGUAACCCUAGCCGUCACCUUCUCCGCCUCCCUCACACUCGACGAUUACCACACAAAAUCCACCUCCCUCAAAACAACCACACACAAAAGUGAUUUAUGAACUGUAGUUUUCGGAAUCUCUCAGCCGGUUCCUUCUUCUUCCUCUCAAUGUUGGAUUUGAAAAGUUUUCGAUAAGGCAACGUUGUCACAGCCUUUGGAUGAGACACAGCAAAGCGGGCUCUUGGGUCCCGGUGAACAAAAGAAGAAGUAUGUAGAUCUGGGUUGUAUUAUUGUCAGCCGUAAGAUCUUUGUUUGGACGGUUGGAUUGAUUUUAGCGGCUGGGUUUGUUACAUUGAUUGUGAAGACUGUUCCUAGGCGUCAUAAAUAUCCACCUCCUCCUGAUAAUUACACUAUUGCUCUUGGGAAAGCUCUCAGGUUCUUUAAUGCACAAAAAUGUAAUUUGGAACAUGAAAGGAGUUUCUAUAGCAGUGACUGAAGAACCCAAGUUUGUUAGUUUAUUGACUUGUAGUGACUAAUGCUAACAUAUAUUUAAAAGGGGCUUUACAGCCAGGCCCAUGAUCAUUAAAAUGGGCUCUUUACAUUAUGGAUCUAAAUUUUGCAAACAUGGGAAUGGGAUAUUAUUAACAGCAGACAUUUAACUA